GAUCUGGUGAGAAGUCACUUGUUUAAUAACCGGCUGGAUUACCUAUGACCAUCACCUGUCACACAUGGUUGGUAUAAUUAUAUCCAAACCAAAGCAAAAUUUGAAAAUACAGAUCUGCUCCUGGAAGCACUAAUUUACUUCAGAGAAGAUCAUGGGCAUUCAAGAAACUCUUUAUGGAGUUUGUUUUCAUUGUGGUAAGGUUAGCUUCUGGACAAAGAAACUGCUCUUAAUUGACUGCCAACAAUAUACUGUAUAACCUGGACAUGUAGGACACACCAUAAAAAGACAGCUGAACUUUUCCAAAACAAGGCAGGACAUUUCUUCAAAAUUCCUUCUUCACAGAAGAGUCUACUAGAUAUUCUGCAGGACACAGAGAAAGGCAACGGAUGAACUUUGUCAAUACACAGUGGGAUAGUCCUUCAAA